rnacentral:rRNA from 1 species
UACAGAGGGUGCAAGCGUUGUUCGGAAUUAUUGGGCGUAAAGAGCUCGUAGGCGGCUUGGCAAGUCGGGUGUGAAACCUCCAGGCUCAACCUGGAGACGCCACUCGAUACUGCCAUGGCUAGAGUCCGGUAGGGGACCACGGAAUUCCUGGUGUAGCGGUGAAAUGCGCAGAUAUCAGGAGGAACACCGGUGGCGAAGGCGGUGGUCUGGGCCGGCACUGACGCUGAGGAGCGAAAGCGUGGGUAGCAAACAGG